UAGAGUUUGAUCCUGGCUCAGAACGAACGCUGGCGGCAGGCCUAACACAUGCAAGUCGAGCGCACCCUUCGGGGCGAGCGGCGGACGGGUUAGUAACGCGUGGGAACAUACCCUUUACUACGGAAUAGCCUCGGGAAACUGAGAGUAAUACCGUAUGUGCCCUUCGGGGGAAAGAUUUAUCGGUAAAGGAUCGGCCCGCGUUAGAUUAGAUAGUUGGUGGGGUAAUGGCCUACCAAGUCUACGAUCUAUAGCUGGUUUUAGAGGAUGAUCAGCAACACUGGGACUGAGACACGGCCCAGACUCCUACGGGAGGCAGCAGUGGGGAAUCUUAGACAAUGGGCGCAAGCCUGAUCUAGCCAUGCCGCGUGUGUGAUGAAGGCCUUAGGGUCGUAAAGCACUUUCGCCAGGGAUGAUAAUGACAGUACCUGGUAAAGAAACCCCGGCUAACUCCGUGCCAGCAGCCGCGGUAAUAAGGGCGAAUUC
rnacentral:rRNA from 1 species